CUUUAUUGAUUGGUAAAAACAGAUACAUCUUUCAACAAAGAAGGGCAAAAGAAAGCUAAGGUGUUCAUUGACUCAGCAAACAUAAUCUACAGGAUUUUAAGGAUACCUAGCUAUCUUAGAGCAUGGCUAAUAGAGUCGUCCGCUGCUGGCUCUAUACGUGUGCCUUGUCAGCAAUAGCUGCUGUAAAAGACGUCUUGUGUAAUAAGGCUGGCUCUACAUGAGCUGCUGGCUGACUAGAGUAAUUAAUGUGUACAUGCAAGAAGAGAAAGGGAAAAGCAGUUGAUUGGAUGGUGAGGUACAGGGAAUCGGGAGCAGCGGCCCUAGCGCUGGCUUCAGGCUGCAUGCGGGCGGAACUCCCUCGCGUCUUGUGCUACAGCCGGGCGCUUUGUCAAGCGCUCGCUCCCUUCUCUCUCCUGCCUUUACUUCCCUCCAGCUCAGAUAUUUGCUGACGUGGAAUCGCUUAUAGCCGGCUGAGUAGGACUAUUAUACUUGCUCUUAUGCGCCACCGUAUUGGCUUCCCUUGGACAGAAAAACAAAACUAACCUCAUCAAAACCGCAAGCAAUCAAUGCACAUUCAUGAAAUAUUGAGGAGCUAGUUGUUGACGAGAAACCACCAGCUAGUAGAGCUUCAGUAACUUUGGAUACAGUCAGAUUGUAAUACAGUUUUAUGGUGUCCCAUCUGUUGAGCCAGCAAAAAACAAUCUCUAUCAGCAUCAUUUGAUGUACUAAGAUUGGUGGCCGCCUUUUAUCACUGUCCGCAAACACAUCCGAAUGUAUAAACAUUGGACAUCGAUAAGUACCGUACGUUCGGUCUGGGGGUCUCCCAGACCGAACGAGUCGUUCGUACUGGAUGGUCCAUCGAUCGAACAAAUUUGUUCGGCCCAAAAAUCCUCCAUCCCGAACGUUCCACCCUCACGUUACCUAGACCUUCUGUUAGGCCUGCUAGCCCAAAUAAUUCCCUUUGCAAAAAGAAAUUAAACAAAAGUGACAAAAAACCAGUCAGAACCUAUUAUGUACAUAAAAAUAUAAAUCAACAAAUGAUAUUGCAGUAAAAACACAAAAAACUAAAGAAAAACCAGCUGAAAAUUUGAGAAAAAAGUACAAUAAAAAUGCCAAAAAAUCUAGAAAUUGCCAUCAAUUGCUAUAAUUGUUAAAACUACCACACACUACCUAUAGAAAAAAGUAAAAUGCAAUGAUAGAUGACAACUAGCAAAAAUUUCAUGCUUUACAAAAAAUAAAAAAUUGACGUGGUGCAACGAAAAUAUAAAAUUGCCGUGCUACAUAAAUUAAAAAUUAAAUGCCAUGGUUUGUACACUAAAAAUGCCGUGAUGCAUAAAGACAAAUUUGCCAUGACCAUAAAACUAAAUUUUCCAUGGGCGCAUAAAAAGUAAAUUUGACAAGUUGCACAAAGAAGCAAAAAAAAUGCCAUGCUCAUAAAAAAGCACGCAUUAUGGCAAAACAAAGAUGACAAAGGUUGGCAAUGGUGGCCAAAAGUGAUGUAAAGUUGUUGUUGUUUUAAUUUUACUGUGAUGCACAUUACCCCAUGCAUUAACAUGUUUUUUUAAAAAGCAGAUAUUAUUAUGAGUGAAUAAUUCCGGCAUUAGUCAUGAUACAUGGAACGAAAAUUUGCCAUGAUGUAUAAACUCAAAAUUGCCAUGGUCAAUUACGAAAUUUAGCAUCAAUUUUAUUUUUUUGCCAUGGUUAAGUAAUGAAAUUUUCCAUGAAAUCAUAAACUUAAUUUGCCAUGGUCAUUUACUAAAAUUUGCCAUGAUCUAUGAACAAAAUUUGCCAUGGCCAGUUAUUAAUUUUGCCAUGAUCAAUGGAAUAAAUUUGCCAUGGUGAGUUAAUGAAAAUAUAAAAUUUGCGUCGUCUAUGAACUAAAUUUGCCAUCGUCAAUUACUAAAAACUACCAUGAUCUAUGAAAAUAAAAUUGCCAUGAUUCGUUAACCAAACUUGCCAUGAUUCUUCAACUAAACUUGCCAUGGUUAUUUGCUAAGAAUUGCCAUCGUCUUAGGAAAAAAGGUAAAUUUGCCAUGAAAAACUAGAAGAGUAAAAAAUUGCCAUGAAUCGUAAACUUAAUAUGCCAUGGCCAUUUACUAAAAAAAUUCCAUCGGCAUUUACUAAAAACUUGCAUGGUCAUUUACUAAAUAAUGCCAUUCUCAUUUACUAAAAAAAUGUUGUAAUGCAAAUACAUGAAACUAAAAUUUGGCAUGAUCUGCAAAGUAAAUUUGCCAUGGUUAAUUUUUAAACUUACCAAGAUCAAAUGAAAAAUAAAUUUGUCAUGGUCAAUUACUAAAUUUUCCAUGGUUAAUUUCUAAACUUGCCAAGAUCAAAUGAAAAAUAAUUUUUCCAUGGUCAAUUUGUGAGAAACUCAAACUAAUUUGUAAUGGCCAUGACAAACAUUCUUUGGAUGGACAUGACAAAAAGACACAACGAAUCAUGGAAAAGAAUGCAUUUAGUUGCCAUGAAAAAAAACAGCUGUAAACAAAAAUAUUGAUUUUAGUUGCCAUGGUAAGUUUGCCAUGUUUUUGAGCAUAUUAGGUUGCCAUGUUUUUUAGCACCUUUAGUUGCCAUGGCAAGUUUGCCGUUGACCAUCUUAGUUAAAGAAGUUUGCCAUGUUUUUGUACAAACUUAAUUAAAAAAAGAUUGUCACGUUUUCGCACAUCUUUAGUUUGUCGUGGCAGGUUUCAAAUGGUUUUGAGCAUUUUAAAAAUGACAUGGCAAGUUUGCCAUGUUUUAGAACACCUGAAACUUUGCCAUAUUUUUGAACAUCUUAAGUUGCCAUGGCAAGUUAGCCAUGUUUUUGAACAUCUAUAACUUUGCCAUGGAAAAUUUGCAUGUUUUUGAACAUGUUAAUUAAAAAAGUUUGCCAUGUUUUUGCACAUCGUAAAGUUUGACAUGUUUUUGAACGUCUUAAAUUGCUAUGGCAAGUUUGCCAUGUUUUUAAACAUCUAUAAGUUUGCCAUGUUUUUUAGCAUCUUAAGUUGCCAUGGCAACUUUUUUGAUAACUAAUUAGAAUUAUUUUCUCUGUACAAUUUGCCACGACAACUUUUUGAUAAAAACUUAGAAUUUUUUUCACUCUAAAAAUUUCCCAUGGCAACUUUUCUGGUAACAAAUUGUCAUUUACUAAAAAUUGUCAUCAUCCUGGAAAUUUAAAAAAAUGUUGCCAUGCAUACCUGCCAUCUUUAUUUACUAAAUGUGAAUCUAAAACUGCAACCUAUGCCAGCCGAAGCUAUGUAGUAGUAACUGAGCUAAAGAAAUGACACUAAUUGAAGUGGCACUAUUCUGAGUCCACAAGGGCAUAUUGAUCGGAAAAAGGUAGUGUUGUUUUAACCGAUUACUGAAAUGCAAAAAGAAUACGAGUAACAUUCAGUACCAUGAAGAUCUACCAACCAGUCGAUCUGAACCAGUACCAUCAACGAAAGCAAUGCAGUGUAGAUGUCAUCGUCACCUGCAUGUUUUGACAGAUUGUGCGUCCCGAGUGCCUCCCAUUUACCGAACUGCUCAGUGCACCGCGGGAGCCCUUGCCGCCGGUCUUGGCGGAGUCCACCUCGCAGGACCCCGGCGUCCCGUGGACAUGCUGGCCGUGGCGGCGCCAUCCCUCGCCCCCAUCACUAGCCACUCCCUCCCUCAUGUCCCGCGUCAGCCUCCAUAGCUACAGGCUACGUAGCCGCCGGAUGCAGCCCUCUCGCAUCCUCGCCGCCGUACUCGCGCGACCCGGCAAGCGAUGCCGCGAACGGGUCCUCGCCGACGGCGCUGUCGGCGACUGGCAAGCGCCAGGAUGUGGGUGGCCGGCGCGACCGGGAGCGCCACGCUACCUCGCCGCCUCCUCCCGCGGGCCGCAUCCUCGCAGCCGCACUCGCCGUUGCCCCCUCCCCGCGGGUCGCAACCUCGCCGCCUCCUCCCGCGGGCCGCAUCCUCGCAGCCGCACUCGCCGUUGCCCCCUCCCCGCGGGUCGCAACCUCGCCGCCUCCUCCCGCGGGCCAUCCUCGCCGCCGCCUCCUCCCGCAGGUUCACAACGUGGUGCCCGCAUACGGCGCCCUCCCGCAGCACUCGUGCCCCGCACGCCGCUGCUCCAACCGCCGAAAGGCCUCGCCGCUGUAAUCGCCGGAAUGAUAAGGUGAGGGGAUACUCGGGGGAGUGGGUGAGCCGGUGAUUGUCGG
rnacentral:lncRNA from 1 species